AUUGAACGCUGGCGGCAGGCCUAACACAUGCAAGUCGAACGAGUGGCGGACGGGUGAGUAAUGUCUGGUAAACUGCCUGAUGGAGGGGGAUAACUACUGGAAACGGUAGCUAAUACCGCAUACCAUCAGAUGUGCCCAGAUGGGAUUAGCUAGUCGGUGGGGUAACGGCUCACCUAGGCGACGAUCCCUAGCUGGACUGAGAGGAUGACCAGCCACACUGGAACUGAGACACGGUCCAGACUCCUACGGGAGGCAGCAGUGGGGAAUAUUGCACAAUGGGCGAAAGCCUGAUGCAGACAUGCCGCGUGUAUGAAGAAGGCCUUCGGGUUGUAAAGUACUGUCAGCGGGGAGGCGUUACCUGCAGAAGAAGCACCGGCUAACUCCGUGCCAGCAGCCGCGGUAAUUC
rnacentral:rRNA from 1 species